rnacentral:lncRNA from 1 species
UAUUAUUUCCCUGAUUUUGAUGGACUGAUUCAUAUUUGCAACCCACAGGGGUGCCCUAAUUUUUUCCUAAGUCACUCAUUUUUAAACUUUCGACUUAGUGGGCUCUCUUUCUUUUUAUUUUGAUUUUUUUGAUUUCUUGUUGUUCCUUUUGUUGAAAUAAGUCGCGUGACAUCUGGUAGUUUGAUUUGAAGAGGUUAUGAUUGCCU